UACGUAGGGUGCGAGCGUUGUCCGGAAUUAUUGGGCGUAAAGAGCUUGUAGGCGGUCUGUCGCGUCUGCUGUGAAAAUCCGGGGCUCAACCCCGGACUUGCAGUGGGUACGGGCAAACUAGAGUAUUGCAGGGGAGACUGGAAUUCCUGGUGUAGCGGUGAAAUGCGCAGAUAUCAGGAGGAACACCGGUGGCGAAGGCGGGUCUCUGGGCAAUAACUGACGCUGAGGAGCGAAAGCGUGGGGAGCGAACAGG
rnacentral:rRNA from 1 species